UAGCUGUGGCGGCAGGCCUAACACAUGCAAGUCGAACGGUAACAGGAAGUGCUUGCACUUCGCUGACGAGUGGCGGACGGGUGAGUAAUGCUUGGGAACUUGCCUUUGUGAGGGGGAUAACAGUUGGAAACGACUGCUAAUACCGCAUAAUGUCUACGGACCAAACGGGGCUUCGGCUCCGGCGCAAAGAGAGGCCCAAGUGAGAUUAGCUAGUUGGUAAGGUAAAGGCUUACCAAGGCAACGAUCUCUAGCUGUUCUGAGAGGAAGAUCAGCCACACUGGAACUGAGACACGGUCCAGACUCCUACGGAAGGCAGCAGUGGGGAAUAUUGCACAAUGGGGGAAACCCUGAUGCAGCCAUGCCGCGUGUGUGAAGGAGGCCUUCGGGUUGUAAAGCACUUUCAGUUGUGAGGAAAAGUUAGUAGUUAAUACCUGCUAGCCGUGACGUUAACAACAGAAGAAGCACCGGCUAACUCCGUGCCAGCAGCCGCGGUAAUACGGAGGGUGCGAGCGUUAAUCGGAAUUACUGGGCGUAAAGCGCACGCAGGCGGUUUGUUAAGCUAGAUGUGAAAGCCCCGGGCUCAACCUGGGAUGGUCAUUUAGAACUGGCAGACUAGAGUCUUGGAGAGGGGAGUGGAAUUCCAGGUGUAGCGGUGAAAUGCGUAGAUAUCUGGAGGAACAUCAGUGGCGAAGGCGACUCCCUGGCCAAAGACUGACGCUCAUGUGCGAAAGGUGUGGGUAGCGAACAGGAUUAGAUACCCUGGUAGUCCACACCGUAACGCUGUCUGCUAGCUGUUUGUGACUUUAAGUCGUGAGUAGCGAAGCUAACGCGAUAAGUAGACCGCCUGGGGAGUACGGCCGCAAGGUUAAAACUCAAA
rnacentral:rRNA from 1 species